AGGGGGAAAGAUCACAAAUGCCUAUAGUCUCAGGGUUCUUAUUGUUGUGAAGAGACACUGUGACCACAGCAAAGGAAAACAUUUAAUUGGGACUGACUUACAGUUUCAUUAGUCCAUUAGUCCAUUAUCCUCAUGGCAGGAAACAUGGCAGCAUGCUUUCAUGGUGCUGAAGAAGGAGCUAAACAUUCUACAUUUUGAUAUGCAGGCAGCAGAAGGAGACUGUGUGCCACACAGGCCAUAGCUUGAGCAUAAGAGACCUCAAAGCCUGCCUCCAAAGUGACACACUUCCUCCAACAAGCCCACACCUACUCCAACAAGGCCCUACCUCCUAAUAGUGACAUAACUAUGUGCCCAACAUUUGAACACACGAGUCUAUGGGGGAUAUAUCUAUUAAAAUUCACAUCUCUUCUUAUAAUUUAAAAUACAUAGAAAAAAGAUGAUGUUAGGACUAACUGGAAUUUGCUAAGGCCAAUUAAAAGAAGGCUACUUUCUCCUGGUAAAGCAAGAUAUUUUAAUGGAUUUUCUUUUAACUUUAUUUUUCUUCUGUCAGUUCUUUUAAAUCUACUGUGUUUCUUGAUAUUUAAUUUUUUAAAAAAAAUCUGAUUUGGUUGGAGAGUGAUUUUUUUCAACUACUGGGAAGAUCUUAAUAUUACCAACUAGCUAGAGAUUUUCUGGUAAAGAAUAAGGAGAGUCAGUCCCUUCCUCUAAGAGUCAAUCCACAUGGGCCCAUCAACCUCCUGGCCAGGAAAACAGCCAGCAGGAAAGCUGCAUCUUCCUAUACAGUUAGGAACAUAGUGUAGAGCCUGCCUAAAUGUGUAUGUAGGCCAAUUGUCUCUUUGGUUAUUACUCACUUUCAACUCUCAACAGUGUGGGCACACAAAAAGAGAGAGACAUUGUGCUGGCUGGUCUUAUGUCAACUUGACACAAGCUAGUUAACUGAAAGGAGGGAACCUCAACUGAGAAAAUGCCUUCAUAAGAGCCUGCUAUAGGGCGUUUUUUUUUUUUUUUUUAGUGAUUGAUGAAAAGGAUCCAGUCACUGUGAGCAGGGCCAUUCCUGGGCUGGUGGUUUUGUGUUCUAUAAGAAAGCAGUCUGAGCAAGCUAUGACGAGCAAGCCAGUAAGCAGCACCCCUCCAUGGCCUCUGCAUCAGCUCCUGCGUCCAGGUUCCUGCCCUGCUUGAGAUUCUGCUCUCACUGCAGGAUGCUGAACUGCUAUAUGGAACUAUGAGCAAAAUAAAGUCUUUUCUCUACAAGUUACUUUGGUCAUGGUGUUUCAACACAGCAAUGGUAACACGAACUAAGACAGGCACUGUCUGCUUCAUAAGAACACAUUUGUUCUUCCUCCUGUAAAAAAGGAUUCUCUAUGUAUAGACUACUGAAUGUGUCAUUUGUUAUGAACUAACCUUUUAUCUAGAUGUCAUCAAAAAGUCUGGUCCAAGAGGAACACAAGCCUCUGUGGCCUUGGCCUUCCCUGCUACUGGAGGAGACUAAAGAGAAAAACAGCAACACCAUACAUCUUAGAGACAAGACUGACCCCCGACUAGGAGCUGUCUGCAGGGCUGUCUGCCUUUGUUGCUCCUCUCUCCACUGGCUAUGGCUGAGAGGCAGACAGAUCAUUAAGGUAUUUUCAGGUUGCAGGCUCUCUGGAUAAAACAGUUGAAAGAUUUUACUCUUGGGUUUUGCAUGUGGCAGUCCGAAUGGCUGGCUGCUUGCACACUCUCACUUUGUGAGAAUGGAUUAUUCCACAAUGGCUCCUCUAGGAACAUGCUUGAGAGUGUCACCUAUCAUUCUGUUAUAAAUGCUACCUAUUCUCUACACCAUGAGUUGUUAGAUUUUUAAGGCAAUAGAGAGACGGGAGUCUGACCUGCAACAGUUGGGACUGUGUUAACACACACAAUGAGGGCAGCCUCUCUCCUGUGGGAAGUUGAGGGGUCUGCCAGGGGAAAAGGCUGACUGUGACCCUUUAUAUUGGUGGGAUGAGUGACUUGAGGAUAAAGAAUGUGAGGAGCUUGGGAAUGAGAAAAUUGGUGGGG
rnacentral:lncRNA from 1 species